rnacentral:rRNA from 1 species
CCUACGGGAGGCAGCAGUGAGGAAUAUUGGUCAAUGGACGAGAGUCUGAACCAGCCAAGCAGCGUGAAGGAUGACUGCCCUAUGGGUUGUAAACUUCUUUUAUAUGGGAAUAAAAUGUUCCACGUGUGGGAUUUUGUAUGUACCAUAUGAAUAAGGAUCGGCUAACUCCGGGCCAGCAGCCGCGGUAAUAUGGAGGAUCCGAGCGUUAUCCGGAUUUAUUGGGUUUAAAGGGAGCGUAGGUGGAUUGUUAAGUCAGUUGUGAAAGUUUGCGGCUCAACCGUAAAAUUGCAGUUGAAACUGGCAGUCUUGAGUACAGUAGAGGUGGGCGGAAUUCGUGGUGUAGCGGUGAAAUGCUUAGAUAUCACGAAGAACUCCGAUUGCGAAGGCAGUUCACUGGACUGCAACUGACACUGAGGCUCGAAAGUGUGGGUAUCAAACAGGAUUAGAUACCCCAGUAGUC